rnacentral:rRNA from 1 species
UACGUAGGGGGCAGGCGUUGUCCGGAAUCAUUGGGCGUAAAGCGCGUGUAGGCGGCCCGGUAAGUCCGCUGUGAAAGUCGGGGGCUCAACCCUCGGAUGCCGGUGGAUACUGUCGGGCUAGAGUGCGGGAGAGGCGAGUGGAAUUCCUGGUGUAGCGGUGAAAUGCGCAGAUAUCAGGAGGAACACCAAUUGCGAAGGCAGCUCGCUGGAACGUAACUGACGCUGAGACGCGAAAGCGUGGGGAGCAAACAGG